AUGGCCACAUCACAUUAAAAUACUGGUUCCCAUAUGGUCACCAAAGUUAAGCAAUGUCAAGCCUGCUCAAUACCUUGAUGAGUGACCACUUGGGAAUAUCAGGGGCCA